AGUGAACGCUGGCGGUAGGCCUAACACAUGCAAGUCGAACGGCAGCACAGUAAGAGCUUGCUCUUACGGGAGGCGAGUGGCGGACGGGUGAGGAAUACAUCGGAAUCUACUUUUUCGUGGGGGAUAACGUAGGGAAACUUACGCUAAUACCGCAUACGACCUACGGGUGAAAGCAGGGGAUCUUCGGACCUUGCGCGAUUGAAUGAGCCGAUGUCGGAUUAGCUAGUUGGCGGGGUAACGGCCCACCAAGGCGACGAUCCGUAGCUGGUCUGAGAGGAUGAUCAGCCACACUGCAACUAAGACACGGUCCACACUCCUACAGGAGGCAGCAGUGGGGAAUAUUGGACAAUGGGCGCAAGCCUGAUCCAACCAUGCCGAGUGGGUGAAGAAGGCCUUCGGAUUGUAAAGCCCUUUUGUUGGGAAAGAGAAGCAGCAGGUUAAUACCCCGCUAUUCUGACGGUACCCAAAGAAUAAGCACCGGCUAACUUCGUG
rnacentral:rRNA from 1 species